GACGAACGCUGGCGGCGUGCUUAACACAUGCAAGUCGAACGGAAAGGCCCUGCUUUUGUGGGGUGCUCGAGUGGCGAACGGGUGAGUAACACGUGAGUAACCUGCCCUUGACUUUGGGAUAACUUCAGGAAACUGGGGCUAAUACCGGAUAGGAGCUCCUGCUGCAUGGUGGGGGUUGGAAAGUUUCGGCGGCUGGGGAUGGACUCGCGGCUUAUCAGCUUGUUGGUGGGGUAGUGGCUUACCAAGGCUUUGACGGGUAGCCGGCCUGAGAGGGUGACCGGCCUCAUUGGGACUGAUAUACUGCCCAUACUCCUACGGGAGGCAGCAGUGGGGAAUAUUGCACAAUGGGCGGAAGCCUGAUGCAGCAACGCCGCGUGCGGGAUGACGGCCUUCGGGUUGUAAACCGUUUUCGCCUGUGACGAAGCGUGAGUGACGGUAAUGCGUAAAGAAGCACCGGCUAACUUCGUGCCAAGCAACCGCGGUGAUACAUAAGGUGCGAGCGUUGUCCGGAUUUAUUGGGCGUAAAAGGCCUCUAAGAGGUUGAUCGCGUCGGAAGUGUAAUCUUGGGGCUUAACCCUGAGCGUGCUUUCGAUACGGGUUGACUUGAGGAAGGUAGGGGAGAAUGGAAUUCCUGGUGGAGCGGUGGAAUGCGCAGAUAUCAGGAGGAACACCAGUGGCGAAGGCGGUUCUCUGGGCCUUUCCUGACGCUGAGGAGCGAGAGCGUGGGGAGCGAACAGGCUUAGAUACCCUGGUAGUCCACGCUGUAAACGGUGGGUACUAGGUGUGGGGUCCAUUCCACGGGUUCCGUGCCGUAGCUAACGCUUUAAGUACCCCGCCUGGGGAGUACGGCCGCAAGGCUAAAACUCAAAGGAAUUGACGGGGCCCCGCACAAGCGGCGGAGCAUGCGGAUUAAUUCGAUGCAACGCGUAGAACCUUACCUGGGUUUGACAUGGAUCGGGAGCGCUCAGAGAUGGGUGUGCCUCUUUUGGGGUCGGUUCACAGGUGGUGCAUGGCUGUCGUCAGCUCGUGUCGUGAGAUGUUGGGUUAAGUCCCGCAACGAGCGCAACCCUUGUUCACUGUUGCCAGCACGUUAUGGUGGGGACUCAGUGGAGGCCGCCGGGGUCAACUCGGAGGAAGGUGGGGAUGACGUCAAGUCAUCAUGCCCCUUAUGUCCAGGGCUUCACGCAUGCUACAAUGGCUGGUACAGAGAGUGGCGAGCCUGUGAGGGUGAGCGAAUCUCGGAAAGCCGGUCUCAGUUCGGAUUGGGGUCUGCAACUCGACCUCAUGAAGUCGGAGUCGCUAGUAAUCGCAGAUCAGCAACGCUGCGGUGAAUACGUUCCCGGG
rnacentral:rRNA from 1 species